rnacentral:rRNA from 1 species
UUGAACGCUGGCGGCAGGCUUAACACAUGCAAGUCGAGCGGAGUGAUGGUGCUUGCACUAUCACUUAGCGGCGGACGGGUGAGUAAUGCUUAGGAAUCUGCCUAUUAGUGGGGGACAACAUUUCGAAAGGAAUGCUAAUACCGCAUACGUCCUACGGGAGAAAGCAGGGGAUCUUCGGACCUUGCGCUAAUAGAUGAGCCUAAGUCGGAUUAGCUAGUUGGUGGGGUAAAGGCCUACCAAGGCGACGAUCUGUAGCGGGUCUGAGAGGAUGAUCCGCCACACUGGGACUGAGACACGGCCCAGACUCCUACGGGAGGCAGCAGUGGGGAAUAUUGGACAAUGGGCGGAAGCCUGAUCCAGCCAUGCCGCGUGUGUGAAGAAGGCCUUAUGGUUGUAAAGCACUUUAAGCGAGGAGGAGGCUACUUUAGUUAAUACCUAGAGAUAGUGGACGUUACUCGCAGAAUAAGCACCGGCUAACUCUGUGCCAGCAGCCGCGGUAACACAGAGGGUGCAAGCGUUAAUCGGAUUUACUGGGCGUAAAGCGCGCGUAGGCGGCUAAUUAAGUCAAAUGUGAAAUCCCCGAGCUUAACUUGGGAAUUGCAUUCGAUACUGGUUAGCUAGAGUGUGGGAGAGGAUGGUAGAAUUCCAGGUGUAGCGGUGAAAUGCGUAGAGAUCUGGAGGAAUACCGAUGGCGAAGGCAGCCAUCUGGCCUAACACUGACGCUGAGGUGCGAAAGCAUGGGGAGCAAACAGGAUUAGAUACCCUGGUAGUCCAUGCCGUAAACGAUGUCUACUAGCCGUUGGGGCCUUUGAGGCUUUAGUGGCGCAGCUAACGCGAUAAGUAGACCGCCUGGGGAGUACGGUCGCAAGACUAAAACUCAAAUGAAUUGACGGGGGCCCGCACAAGCGGUGGAGCAUGUGGUUUAAUUCGAUGCAACGCGAAGAACCUUACCUGGCCUUGACAUAGUAAGAACUUUCCAGAGAUGGAUUGGUGCCUUCGGGAACUUGCAUACAGGUGCUGCAUGGCUGUCGUCAGCUCGUGUCGUGAGAUGUUGGGUUAAGUCCCGCAACGAGCGCAACCCUUUUCCUUAUUUGCCAGCGAGUAAUGUCGGGAACUUUAAGGAUACUGCCAGUGACAAACUGGAGGAAGGCGGGGACGACGUCAAGUCAUCAUGGCCCUUACGGCCAGGGCUACACACGUGCUACAAUGGUCGGUACAAAGGGUUGCUACCUAGCGAUAGGAUGCUAAUCUCAAAAAGCCGAUCGUAGUCCGGAUUGGAGUCUGCAACUCGACUCCAUGAAGUCGGAAUCGCUAGUAAUCGCGGAUCAGAAUGCCGCGGUGAAUACGUUCCCGGGCCUUGUACACACCGCCCGUCACACCAUGGGAGUUUGUUGCACCAAAAGUAGCUAGCCUAACUGCAAAGAGGGCGGUUACCACGGUGUGGCCGAUGACUGGGGUG